rnacentral:lncRNA from 1 species
UUGGGGAGGUGGAAGGUGGGGAGGUGGAAGGUGAUGGGUUGGGGAGGUGGAAGGUGGGGUACACAGGUACAACUCACUCAUUUCUUUCUUUAUAGCCAUCCGAUUUGGUAGGCUAUAUUUUUGUAGCCUAUUAGUGUUGCUAACCUUUGUUAUUUUACUUCCAAAAUCUGCCAUUUUUCGUUACCAAUUUGUAAUACAUAGUGACAGGGUGUUUGUAUGUGAAUAUGAGGUGGGGAAUCUAGAGUUCUACAGGAUCUAGGUAAUUCAACAUAUAUGGAAGAAAUGUCGUGAUGUUGGACUACAGGAAAUUUCUUGAGGAUGUUUUUUGGCCAUGUAAACGUUCACGCUAAUUCAAAGGAUUUUCAAUUUAAUGUGAAUGAGGAAUACUAUAGUUUCGGAGGAGAUGAAGACACUGGUGAAGCGUUAUUACUUCGAUUCUUCGUAGGUUCAGGAUACUUUAAUGCAGUGGCGGACCCGGAAAUUAUUUGCUGGGGGUGCGGAGAAGGUGUUCAACCAUAUUUUCAAGGGAUCCGGUCGAGUUUUUUGCCUAAAAUAUACACUAAAUUUUUUUUUUCAAGGGGUGCGGCCGCCCACCCUGGCCAAAGGGUAGGUCCGCCCAUGCUUUAAUGGUCACCAGCAGUGAUUUCUCUUUCUCGCCAGAAUUUAGCAUUGGUCGCUAUUGCAUUCAGCGUCGAACCCGACUGUGGUUAUCAUCUUCUCCAAGUAAAUUGAGUAAAUUGUAAGCAAGGCUUCAACAUCAACGGAUUUGACCAACCCCAUUUGGGAUUUCAUUUAAAGAAUUAUAUGUUCUGCUUACGAUUCAGUUUUGGAUCCGUUUAAUGGUGGUGAUAGAAGGAUUAGAAGCAGCGUGGACAACAUGAAUUAAAUCAGUAGUUGAACGGUGACAUAAACAAUGACGUGUGGCAGCAUCACGAUUUUAUUUAUUUGUUUUUACAUUUUCAGUUGUUAUAACGAGCGUACUGUAACGAAACAGACCGAUAGCGAUCAAAUUUAUGUCGUGGAACGUGGAGAAUCCCGGCGCAACGCGCCGGUCUUCGUACCCCUAGUCACUUUAAUUAUGCAUUUGUCACUAUCCCAUCUUAAUAAUUGACUUACUUUAAUCAAAAGUAAAGAUCCACUUU